UACGAAGGGGGCUAGCGUUGCUCGGAAUUACUGGGCGUAAAGGGCGCGUAGGCGGCUUGGCAAGUGGAUGGUGAAAUCCCUCGGCUUAACCGAGGAACUGCCGUCCAAACUGCUUCGCUUGAGACCGGGAGAGGUGAGUGGAAUUCCCAGUGUAGCAGUGAAAUGCGUAGAGAUCAUGAGGAAGACCAGUGGCGAAGGCGGGUCUCUGGACAGUUCCUGACACUGAGGCACGAAGGCCAGGGGAGCAAACGGG
rnacentral:rRNA from 1 species